AAACAACCAGAGAACAGCAGGGCAAGCCAG
rnacentral:piRNA from 1 species